UACGAAGGGGGCUAGCGUUGUUCGGAUUUACUGGGCGUAAAGCGCACGUAGGUGGCGACGUAAGUCGGGUGUGAAAGCCCCGGGCUCAACCUGGGAAUUGCAUUCGAGACUGCAUUGCUGGAGUACGGAAGAGGAAGGCGGAAUUCCCGGCGUAGCGGUGAAAUGCGUAGAUAUCGGGAGGAACAUCAGUGGCGAAGGCGGCCUUCUGGUCCAGUACUGACACUCAAGUGCGAAAGCGUGGGGAGCAAACAGG
rnacentral:rRNA from 1 species